rnacentral:rRNA from 1 species
UACAUGGGGUGCAAACGUUGCUCGGAAUUAUUGGGCGUAAAGCGCACGUAGGUGGUCUGUUAUGUCAGAUGUGAAAGCCCUCGGCUUAACUGAGGAAGUGCACCUGAAACUGGCAGGCUUGAGUACGAAAGAGGGUCGCGGAAUUCCCGGUGUAGAGGUGAAAUUCGUAGAUAUCGGGAGGAACACCGGUGGCGAAGGCGGCGACCUGGUUCGAUACUGACACUGAG